rnacentral:lncRNA from 1 species
GGAUCCACCUUCCCAUGUAAGACCCCUCUCUUUCCCCUGCCUCAGACCUGCUGCCCAUUCUGCAGAUCCCCUCCCUGGCUCCUGGUCUCCCCGUCCAGAUAUAGGGCUCACCCUACGUCUUUGCGACUUUAGAGGGCAGAAGCCCUUUAUUCAGCCCCAGAUCUCCCUCCGUUCAGGCCUCACCAGAUUCCCUCCGGGAUCUCCCUAGAUAACCUCCCCAACCUCGAUUCCCCUCGCUGUCUCUCGCCCCACCGCUGAGGGCUGGGCUGGGCUCCGAUCGGGUCACCUGUCCCUUCUCUCUCCAGCUAGAUGGCCCCCCGGCCGUGGCUGUGGGCCAGUGCCCGCUGGUGGGGCCAGGCCCCAUGCACCGCCGCCACCUGCUGCUCCCUGCCAGGGUACGUCCGGCUGCCCACGCCCCCCUCCGCCGUCGCGCCCCGCGCUCCACCCGCCCCUUGCCACCCGCUUAGCUGCGCAUUUGCGGGGCUGGGCCCACGGCAGGAGGGCGGAUCUUCGGGCAGCCAAUCAACACAGGCCGCUAGGAAGCAGCCAAUGACGAGUUCGGACGGGAUUCGAGGCGUGCGAGUGGACUAACAACAGCUGUAGGCUGUUGGGGCGGGGGCGGGGCGCAGGGAAGAGUGCGGGCCCACCUAUGGGCGUAGGCGGGGCGAGUCCCAGGAGCCAAUCAGAGGCCCAUGCCGGGUGUUGACCUCGCCCUCUCCCCGCAGGUCCCUAGGCCUGGCCUAUCGGAGGCGCUUUCCCUGCUCCUGUUCGCCGUUGUUCUGUCUCGUGCCGCCGCCCUGGGCUGCAUUGGGUUGGUGGCCCACGCCGGCCAACUCACCGCAGUCUGGCGCCGCCCAGGAGCCGCCCGCGCUCCCUGAACCCUAGAACUGUCUUCGACUCCGGGGCCCCGUUGGAAGACUGAGUGCCCGGGGCACGGCACAGAAGCCGCGCCCACCGCCUGCCAGUUCACAACCGCUCCGAGCGUGGGUCUCCGCCCAGCUCCAGUCCUGUGAUCCGGGCCCGCCCCCUAGCGGCCGGGGAGGGAGGGGCCGGGUCCGCGGCCGGCGAACGGGGCUCGAAGGGUCCUUGUAGCCGGGAAUGCUGCUGCUGCUGCUGCUGCUGCUGCUGCUGCUGCUGCUGCUGCUGCUGCUGCUGCUGCUGGGGGGAUCACAGACCAUUUCUUUCUUUCGGCCAGGCUGAGGCCCUGACGUGGAUGGGCAAACUGCAGGCCUGGGAAGGCAGCAAGCCGGGCCGUCCGUGUUCCAUCCUCCACGCACCCCCACCUAUCGUUGGUUCGCAAAGUGCAAAGCUUUCUUGUGCAUGACGCCCUGCUCUGGGGAGCGUCUGGCGCGAUCUCUGCCUGCUUACUCGGGAAAUUUGCUUUUGCCAAACCCGCUUUUUCGGGGAUCC